AUUGAACGCUGGCGGCAUGCCUUACACAUGCAAGUCGAACGGCAGCACGGGAGCAAUCCUGGUGGCGAGUGGCGAACGGGUGAGUAAAGUAUCGGAACGUGCCCAGUCGUGGGGGAUAACGUAGCGAAAGUUACGCUAAUACCGCAUACGAUCUAUGGAUGAAAGCGGGGGAUCGCAAGACCUCGCGCGAUUGGAGCGGCCGAUAUCGGAUUAGGUAGUUGGUGGGGUAAAGGCUCACCAAGCCGACGAUCCGUAGCUGGUCUGAGAGGACGACCAGCCACACUGGGACUGAGACACGGCCCAGACUCCUACGGGAGGCAGCAGUGGGGAAUUUUGGACAAUGGGCGAAAGCCUGAUCCAGCCAUGCCGCGUGCAGGAUGAAGGCCUUCGGGUUGUAAACUGCUUUUGUACGGAACGAAAAGGUUUGGCCUAAUAAGCUGAGCUCAUGACGGUACCGUAAGAAUAAGCACCGGCUAACUACGUGCCAGCAGCCGCGGUAA
rnacentral:rRNA from 1 species